GGGAGCCUCCAGGAGCCUGGAGGAGAGGACUCAGGCCCCAGGAGUUCCCGCUGGGCCCACGCGCCUCCGUGUCCUCUGGCCCCACCACCUCUGCACCCAUGAGAGCCGCGGAGGAAGCUCUCUCCUCCUGGCCCUCUGCCCGCUGCUUCCCGGAGCCCUGGGAGGACGAUGUAUCUGUAUAAGGACAACCUCCUGAGCCGAGAGACGGUCACUUACCUGAGGAGGAAGAGCCAGUCAGAGCUCAAGGGCCGCAGGGGCCUUCCGGGAGGCGCUGGGGCUGCAUCUACGGCUUUGUUGUUACCAGCGAGAAGCGAGUCCCUCAGUCCCAGUAACAGUAAAUGCCAGCUGCCUCCCAGUCCAGGGAGACGGUGCCGCCGGGAAGACCAGCCCGUGACCAGCUUCUAGCAUGACUUGAAGAAAAAAAUCACCAUGUUUCGUGCACCUCAUCACCGGUGUUGCCUUCGUCUUUCAGUGCUGGCUCUAACCGCGUGGCUGUUGGUUAACCCCUCCACGAGAGAUGGACUGUCCCCCGGACGUGGCCCAAGUUGGUUCCAUACACGCUGUUUUCCUUCGGAGCCCUUGUCACAUCCUGUCGUCAUCGGUUUGCUUACACUGGACUCACCUGCCUUGUUUGCUCUCGUGGCCUCUGAGCCUCAUUCACCUCCUGGUACCUCAUAAUCUCGGUGAACCUGUGACUUGUGAACAGGUGCGCGUGGCUGGAGUACCUCAUCCCAGCUUCUGAUCCUCUCUGUCUUUUCCUGGACUCGGACACCCUGGCUGAUUUGCUAUCCUUUCCUCCAGAGAAGCCCCCAGAUCCACAGCUUCUACGCACUGAUGCCCAAUACUUGUCUUUCCUACCAGUUUCCACAUGCUGACUGUCACAUCUAUGGAAAUGUUAUCCAAUGAUUCUGCAGUGUUCCCCGUUCCCAGGAACAGGGGAUGGGGAGUGGGGGGUACCAUUUCUUGAAGAGCUAGGUACCUGUGCCUUAUUUGAGAUACUUACAGGUUCACGACUCUGAGAAUCAACACUAUUAUUUCCACUUUACCAAUAAAGAAACAAAAGCUCAAAAAAGGAUCGAAUAGCUUGUCCAAGCUGCGUAAGGAAAAUCUGAAUCCUGGUCUUUCCGAUCUCAAAGCUUACACGGCUUGUCAGUCUGCCCCCAGUUUAAGCAGGCUGUUAAAUCGGAGGUUGCUUAAUAGCCCUUGACGUGAAAAAGGCAGCACACAGGUACUAACUCAGAUAAGCUACUUCUUGGGAGGAAAGGGGGAGAUCAGGCAAAGAUAUUAUCGGUAGACCGAUUCCAAGCAAGGAUUGACAGAGGUCAGCCUCUAAAACCGUAAAGCUUCAAGAGGAAGACCAUUAGCCCCUAAGAAGCCCGCCUUUGGGGCCCUCUGUGUCAGGGGGCUGACGGCGGGGGGUGGACGUCAACCCCUGACCCCUCUGGAGAAGGUGGCAGGAACCCCGUGAGUGAAGCCCGCUCACUGGCUGUCGCUCCCCCUUUUGGCGAUGCUGGGAGCAGCCCGCAGCCCUGUGCUCAGGUGAGAGCAGCUGUAGAAGGUGCAGGUCUCCAGCGCUCAUGGGAGGGGAGAGGCACGGCGCCGGCCGUUCGCGGGCGCUGUCAGGCUCACACCCUCAGAGCUGAGAAGUCUCAUUGCCGCCUCGGACGGUGCUCCUGACCCAGCCUGCCUGUGCUCCGUCUCCCCACCUGUAGGCGAUGCCCGUGCAUCGGAGUCUUUGCAGGCUGAGACCCAGGCCACAGGACCCUUCCCGGCCCCUUAAAGGAGAAUCAUGCUGCAGCGUGAGGUUUUGUCACCUGCUUGGACCAGAGGCUUAAAUGAACUGUUCCACAUACUUUUCCAAAUACUGGAAAGCUCCCAGAAAACAAUAGGCUGGCGCUCCCUGCAGUCUGAAGCACGGUUACUGUCACAAAGGGACAGAGCUCUUCCGUGACUUGGGUCCUUUCCUCGUGUGUAUGAUGGGACAACUCUGGAAGCAUGCUCUCUUUUUAUAACAGUGUUUUAAAAUAUUCCAGAAUCGGGUGCGACUUAAUAGCUGUGCAUUGGCUUGAAUUUUGUGUUCACCCUGACAGAUCUUCCUUCCCAUUUGUACUUUUCUGCUUGACUUUUUUAGAUUUAUUUUUCUGGUGUUAGACAGUAUGGAAUAUACCUAUUGCUUGUCUCAGCCAUUUCUCUUACUGGCCAAGAUCCUGUUGAAUGCCCACCCCACUCUCGAGAACCUCCCUGAUGUAUCAUGUCCCUGUUUUGACGGCAUCUUGAAGCACCUGAGCAUGGGCACUCCCCUGGUCCCUUGGCCUAAAGAGCACACGCUAAGUUUCCUUCUGUGGUCGGUCCUGAUGCGUCCGCUGAUGAGCAAGCCUGCUCUCUGGCCUCGCUGUGGUUAAGUACCUCAUCCAGGGCGUUGUAAUCAUUAACUUAGACACUUCAAUCAGUGGUCACUUGACAGGACAGACUUUCCUGCAUCGCACUGCUGAGUCACACAGCCUCUCACUGGCUGAACCGUGAGCGUCGGAGAGUCAGGCCUCCCCAAGGAACCUUCCUUGGAUCUGCUCCGAAGCCCUCCCAGGAGCCAGGCAGGUCCCCCUGCAUGGAAGACUAAUUUUUAGGGAUGGGGACCUGUGCGACCUGGGCUUCCACUCCUGUGAUGUGCUCAAAGGUGAAUGCCAGCUUCAGUGUUAGACCACGUAGGCGGAGGAUGUCCUGUGGCUCCAGGUCUAAAGUGCCCUCCACCCGAGGUCGGAUUUACAGGCUCAUGCUGCCCUCUGCUGGCCAUCUGGAGUCUGUGCUGCUGCAGAAGAAGGCAAAAUCAAUUCUGAAAAUAGAAACCUCCUAUCUUCUGUGCAGGCUGCUUUCAUGCUUUUCCUCCAUGAUUGGAGGUACAAGAUCAAUACCAUGUUUUAUUUCAGAAGACAUCUUGCUGAUCAAACCUUGAUGGUCUGCAAAACGCACAGCCUGGGCGGCGGGCAGGGGGCGUGGGGGGGGGGGGGAAACGGUUUCCUUAGCAGCAGCCACACCGGCUUGAGGAGGUGUGUGGCGCUCACUGUACAGGAAAGAGAGGUGCUCCUUCAUCCUCCUUAAAAAAAAAUUCAUCUCUUUAUCACAGUGGUAGAGUAGCAAGAGAAAACAACUGAUUUUGCUUCCUCUGCUGCUCUGGAUUAGUUCCUAAGGGUUCAUACUGUCAUUUAAAUUCCAGGUGCUCAUCUUCUGAAGAAACGCCCCCUUAGGAUUUCUGUGCCUGGAAAAUACCCAUCUACAGACUGCUUUGAUAUCUUGUGUAAGUAGAGGCUUGUGCUCAUAAAUCAGUCUCAAGGGAGCUUUGGUUUAUUUUCUUGGAUGAUUCACCAGUACAUUUUCUAAAUGAUCGUCAGUGUUUGAUCUCUAUUUCUUUCCUCCUAAAUACUCAACUUUCAAUCAAUUUUCAGAAGAAGUCCCUAACAUGAACUCCUGCUUAAAACCAGGGGUAUGGAUCCCAUUUUCAGGUCUUAAAAGAAGAGCAGACAGAAAAUGUUACAGCUGCUUACUUCCAUUAACUCAGCUGGAAACGCCGUUUGUGGAUCCGAGGGCACCUUUUCAGGGUUCGGGGCACGUCAGGCUCCUCUGGGGUUAGCGACUGUGGGACGCUCACCUGUAGCGCAGACGUGAACACAGGAGCCGGGAGCCCUUCUGUUUGGGAGGCCGAAGCAGGUCUCUUAGCCACGCUCUGCUUCUGACGUGGUGAAGAAAAGCGAAGUCAUUGUUUUAUCGUCGUAACCAUCACCGAGUGAAUGGGAACCCGUGCUGUUUCUAGCUUUUCCUUAUCUAGCUGAACUCUCACAACAAGCUUAUGUGGUAUAGACCCUGAUUUCACAGAUGAGGCAACUGAGAAUGGCGGGGGCUGCUGGACUAAGAGGACGUGAGCUUCCUUAGAUUAGUGGGAAAACAAGUCUUUAGAGAAGAUGUGACUUGCUUAAGGUCACCCUGCAGGUCAGAGUGUGGCUGAGGGUCCAGGGCCAAAGCUGGUCGUAAUUGUUUGCUCACGUGCUUAUUGAUGAAACCCUGAAACUCGGAGCCGAUUGAUGUUCAGAGUUCUGUGUAGCCACGCGGAGAUGAGCCCUUACCAUUUCUAUAAAGCACCAAGCGGCAAAGACUGACGCCUGGGAGCCUGGGCCUGGAAUCUCGCAAGGCAGGGCCUGAAUCCUGGGCUUGCCGUCCACAGGCUUUGUGUCCAAGAGCGAGACCUGUACCCUCGCAAAAUCUGUUCCUUCCCCUGGAAAAUGGAGGUAACGCCACCAGCCUUGUUAGGUGGCUGUGAACACUGAGAGAGCACAUGGCAUAGUGCUGGCACAGAACUAAGCCUUCCAGAAAUGGAUGCUGCUGCUGUUUUCAGAGCACCUUCUCCAUCUGCUUCUCGGUUCAUUCAGACCUUCACCCGGAAAAGGCACUCCAGUGUUCUGAUCUGAUGAAACAGUGAACAUUUGUGAGGUGCUUUAAAAAUUACAGAUGUUUCUGUAUACUCCCGAGCACCACUGCAGGAUAGGAAUCUGCAUCUCCGCUCUCCAGAUCGGCAUUCUUAGGCUCGGCAAAAUCACAUGCUCCCCAGGAUCCUGUAGUUAGUCAACAGCACAGCCAGGACCUCAACUCAGAGCUGCAGCUCCGGACCCUGUGCUGAAUAACUUCAUUUGCUUCCUGUGAGGCAGCAUUUAUUAGAGGCAUGUACAUUAACAGAAAAGCACUUGCCACCCUGGGAUCCCAACCGGCCACAGCUGCAUCUUUAAUCUGGCCUAAAUAUUCAAGUUAGGACUCCUGUAUCACGAUGUCUGUAACAUUUGGAAGCCACUGUCUUAAAGACGUGUCCUAGUCAGAUACGGUCUCCUCGGGUAUUUAAGCCCCAAGGGACGUUACCUUAAUCCGGUUUUCCUGCAAGAACAGACUGGCAUUUCAUGUCAAGGGAAACACCGUGUCUCCACUGUUCCGCUUUUGCCACACCGGAGUUAUCCGUGUGGUUUACGGAGUCACAUUUCAGGCUCUACCUUGCCUAUCAGAUCUGGAAGCAAAAAUCCAGAGAAGGGCAGCUUGCUCAAAAAGAGCAUCAAGUAUGGCAGGGCAGGUGGGAUUUUGAAAUGGAAACACAUUCCUGUGGCUUUUGGGCUGAGGGAGAUGGAGGAAGGAUUUUGUUCCUGACAAGUGGUUCCCUUUGUGCUAGGGAUGGAGCGUUCAGCAGGGUUAAACGUGUGUUCCAUGUGUAAGUGGUGGGAACAAAUAACACGCCUUUCCAAUGAUGCAAUACCUUAAACAUGGUUGAGGGUUAAAAUAGGAGCACCCUGAGUUACAGAGAGUCAGCCCUGUCCAUCUCCUGGCCUGAACAUGCAGAACAGUGGGGUCGAUUGUUGGAGACGGAGGGCAGGAAGGCGUGGAAAGAUGCUGUCGUGACCGAGUAAGAUCUUUCCCUGCAGGUCAGUGUCGCUGACGGACUCGGCAGAGUAAGCAGAUGCCAGGUGCUGGGGCCCGUUUUCCCACGUGUGUCCUGGAAGGAGAAGGAACGAGCCCCUGAUUUUUUUUUCCACAUCCCUACUAGGGAACCAUGGGAUUUUUUUCCCCCUGUGUGAGUUUGAUAGCCACCCUGCCCACGCAGACCUCUUUGCAGGAAACCGGCCUCUUGCUUUAGAAGAUGAUACAAAAACAGAGGCCCAAACUCAGGAGCUCUAUUUCAGUGUAUUUUGUGGACGUCAUUUUAUAAUCGCCAACUAAGUACCUCUGGUUCCCACCAAGGGCUUGCCAGCUUCAAGGACAGAUACACUACAUGACUGAUUCUGGUGCUAAUUACUCUUUUUCUGCUAAAAAUGCCUCCUCAUUUGAAGAGCCAUAGAUGGGAAAGAAUAUAUCCACCUUUGUUCUGCUGAUUUUUUUGAAAAGGCGUAUUUAAAGGAUAAUACAGUACCAUCUGUUUGUUUCUGCUGAGGGAAGAGAACAGUAUGGUUGCAUGUGUAUUAUGUGUAUGCGUGUGCAGGUAUGUACAUGUGCAGAUGUGACCUUUACUUGAUGUAUGAGAUAUGUAUGACCUUAGAUGUAAGUAAAAGGAAGAAAUUCAUUCUUUAGGAAAAAAAUUUCCCCGUAACUGAAAUGUCAGUCAUUAGUUAAAAAUGAAAAAAAAUUAGGGUGUUCCUGUCAUGGCUCAGUGGUACAAACCUGACUCGUAUCCAUGAGGAUGUGGGUUCGACUCCUUGUUCUGUGGGUUAAGGACUCGGCAUUGCUGUGAGCUGUGGUGUAGGUCACAGACGUGGCUCAGAUCCCACGCUGGUAUGGCCGUGACAUAGGCCAGCAGCUACAGCUCUGAUUUGACCUCUAGCCUGGGAACUUCCAUAUGUCUCGGGUCUGGCCCUAAAAAUAAAUUAAUUUAAAAAAA
rnacentral:lncRNA from 1 species